rnacentral:lncRNA from 1 species
CGUUUCCGAGUUAAUGGGUUUUAUUAAUUAAAAAGGGGUGAUUUUCCAGUUUUCAGACAUUAACACAAAAAUGUUUUCAGCAAUUCUCAUGAAACGUUGGUGUAUUGUUUAUAUAUAUUGACUGAAGCUCCCUUUGUUGCUAAUAAAAAAGUGACCUAAAAGAGUUUGAAUGUUCUGACUUUUUCUAAAUGACCAUUUAAUGAGGUGUGUGAAUUUUUCUUAAUAAAACUUUGAGGCAAAGUGGUAUAUAGGGUAGAAAAAUCAAAAGCACCAAUUAUAAGCAUGCAAUUCAUCAAGUACUUCAAACGAAUUUUGACACUCUAAAAGCAAUUUAUUCCACUAUUUUCAAAGGCCUUAUUUGAACAAUUUUUUAUCAGCUGAGGUUUUUGAUUGUACCAAGUGUACUAGUAAGUAGAAUACAUAGUUUAGUAGGGAAACAAUGGCUUGAAACGAAAUAAAUCUUUGUUUGUAAUGAGUUAUGUGCAGCUUCGGACCCAAGUACAUGGUUGGAACUUUCAUUGUACAAUGCAUUUGGUUCUGCUUUGAAAAGAAUCACAGAGCUGAGUCUAUGUACCAUAUUAUAUAAAAGGUUAAGUGGUUGUUAGGACCUAGUCCUUAAUUGAGAUCCUUGUCAGAUAUUCCUGGCCAUAUGUUUUCCUUUUUGUCAUAUUAAGAAUUGUUUUUAAUUUAAUAUGUUCGUACGGAAAACAAGGAACAUUAUUCUCAUACAAAAAAUUAAGAUAAUUCUAAAUACACAUUCAUAAAAAAAAUGGAAUUUAUUACAAAGGAUAAUCAUAAGAUAUGCUUGAAUUGUCCUGGACCUCACUUCUGUGAAGGGUAUAUGUUAAUGGAAUCCUUCUCUGAAUACGGGACAAACAUAUUAGUAGUGGUAGACCCCAAUGGCCAAUGAUCUUCAAUUUAUACCGAAUAUUGACUGUCAAAAAAAAAAUGCUAACAUUCCAAUUUUCAAUAACAGUUAACAGCAAAUACAUUAUCACAAUAACAGAUAACAAAAAAACUAAAAGCCCAAUAACAGCUAACAAAGAAUAAGACAAUAACAGCUAACAGCAAAUAUAUUUUCAAAAUAACAGAUAACAAAGAAUUAAAUUGCCCCAUAACAGCAUAACAGUUAAAAUCCUUGCCCCCCC